rnacentral:lncRNA from 1 species
GCUGAGACUAUUGUACAUCCCAAAUGGCACCCUAUUCUCUAAAUAGUGCACUACUUUUGACCAGAGCCCUAUGUGCUGGGUCAAAAGUAGUGCACUAUAAAAUGAAUAGGGUGCUAUUAAGGACUGACUCUAUGUAGCCCACUACAGUAUGUAGCCAACUACGUUACAGUGCUAAAAUUAAAUACAUUGCACAAAGUAAUACACAUUUUUCAUUUAAAAUCAAAACACAUGCACAUGCAAACUCUAUAAUAGUAAUUUUGUCUCAUAAAGUAAGUUACACUCUGAACUACAGCCUGGUCUCAUAGACUAGACGUAACAUAUUAAAUAUAAAUUCAGGACACUCAAAUUAGUAUGACAUGUUACGUUUGGUAUGGCUACAUGAGACAGAAGCUUACUUUAGGCAAAAACGAAAGUAGGGUGGUUGGUCGGGGUGGAUGGGCAGGCGUAUAACGUGAACGUCUAGCAACCCAAAGGUUGCGUGUUCGAAUCUCAUCACAGACAGUUUUAGAAAAUUAGCAACUUUGCAACUACUUAGCAUGUUAGCUAACCCUUCCUUUAACCUAACCCCUAACCUUAACCCUAACCCCUAGCCUAGCUAACUAUAGCCAGUUAGCCACCUAGCUAACGUUACCCACAACAAAUUGGAAUUCGUAACAUACCAUACGAAACAUAAGAUAUUAUAUUACACGGAGGGAGACAGAUUUAUGUUUACUAUGUUACGUCUACCCCUGAGUCCAGGUUUAACAACACUAUGAAUAAAAAUGUUUAUUUCACAAUAGUUCCGUGUUGUAGCUGCUUUGGCAAACUAGAACUCACAGUUGAAUGUGCUUAUAUAGUGGCGAGUAUCAGUCAUUCAAAUAUAAAGAUGAUUUCUUCUGCAUGUUAACACAACAGUAUUAUUGCUUAUCCUAGUAACAUCUUAAUCAAUGAUAUAGAAUUUUAAUAACAAAACAUUGGUAAUUAUGUCUGCCAUUUUCAUAAUAAUGUAAUACUCGUAAUACAACAUGAAUGCAUGCUAUUCAAAGGACACAAAUUGUAACUCUGACAUAUUAGUUAAAGCACUUGGGUAUCAUUCUGGGUUAUGCAAUACUGAUAACGUUUCUAACCGCAAAAAAAACCCACACACAAUGGCUUAUAAUUGAGUAAAGGGUGUUCAUAAUUAUGUACCAACUUUUUUAAUCUAUGUAUUUCAAUAUUUCCUUCUUAGUGUAACUGUUGCUUAUUUUAUAUAAAAAAAAGUGUUGUAAAAAAUCUUUUCAUAAAUAUUUCUGUAGGAUAAACCCCUCAGAUCACUGUAAAACAUCAACGAAAAACUCUUCCCGCUUUAUUUGUUUCUCAGCAAUAUAGGCCCUUUUUCACAUAGAAAGCUUAAAAAUUGCAUUACAUUUCAGAGGAGC